UACGAAGGGUGCAAACGUUGCUCGGAAUUACUGGGCGUAAAGCGCACGUAGGCGGCUUUGCAAGUCAGAGGUGAAAGCCCGGGGCUCAACCCCGGAAUUGCCUUUGAGACUGCAUCGCUAGAAUUGUGGAGAGGUAAGUGGAAUUCCGAGUGUAGAGGUGAAAUUCGUAGAUAUUCGGAAGAACACCAGUGGCGAAGGCGACUUACUGGACACAUAUUGACGCUGAGGUGCGAAAGCGUGGGGAGCAAACAGG
rnacentral:rRNA from 1 species